rnacentral:pre_miRNA from 1 species
UCCCUGAGACCCUUAACCUGUGAGGAAGCCCAGAGGUCACAGGUGAGGGCCUUGGGAACU